rnacentral:lncRNA from 1 species
GCGCUUCUCCGCACCGGGAUCCCCAGUCCCUCAGGUUCCGACAGACCCUCCUGUCAGGCCCAUUCUCCGGGCCCCCUCAGUUGCAGUGUUAAGAUCAACAGUGUUAAGAUUAAAGCCUUGUGAUGUGCUAGCCACUACGCUGAGGAUAUGCCGUGUACUAAAAUUCCUCAGGACUCCUCACAGCUGCCCUGUAAGGAAGCGGCCAUGGCCGGGUUCUAGCGAUGCGAGGCCGAGGCUCGGGGCGCUGAGUAGCCUAGCGCGUCGCCGAGGAGAGCUGGCACGUGAACCCCUUGUCGUUUGCCGUCAGAGGUGUUAUGUGGUGGCCCUCAUUCUCCAUGCAUGGAGCAGACUCUAGGAUCUGCAGUUACUGUAUGAUGAGCCCUUCUGAGUAUUUUGCUUGGGUGGACAGUUUAUGUGUCAGGUAUGUGUAUUUAUAAUUAAAAUCAAAUAUUAUUACAUAGGCUUUGCACCUGGCGAGGUAACAUUGAGAGUAGUUAAUCUCUAGACUGGAAUCCAUCUGGAAGACCACUCAAUAACUUGUGAUUAGCUGGACCUGGUGAUGCAAGCCUGGAGUCCCAGUUACCCGGAGGCUGAGGUGGGAAUAUCGCUUGAGACCAGGAGUUUGAGGCUACAGUGAGCUGUGAUUGUACCACUGCACUCCAGCCUGGGUGACAGUGCAAGACCUCAUCUCUUAAAAAAAACAAACAACUCAAAAAACCUCAUCAUUGAGCACCUAUGAUGUGCCAGCAACUGUACUCAGUGGUGGGGACUUGACGACAAACAAACCAGGGAUGGGAUCCUUGAGCAGUCACCAUCUGACAAGUGACUGGGAAAGAUGAAUAAUGCCCUUCACCAAGAUUCUUCUCUGAUCCACAAAUUCAAUUACCAAUUUAUUUGUUCACUGCUCUUAAACUUAAAUAUUUUUUAGUAGGUAAUAAAGACAUGUUUAAACACUCUUAACUUUUAACAAUUUCUUUGUAAGUACUGUAAUAGUCUUCUUUUCCUUUAAAAAGAAAAAAUACAAAAAGAAGGAAAAGGAAAAUCUAUUCAAAAUAAAGUAUUCCAGAUAUCUGACAUUGCUGCAUUGCUGUAUCAUUCAUUAACAUUCACAAAAAAUAAAAUGAGUGCCUUCCGUGUGUGUGCAGGCAUUGUUCUAGGCAAAGAAGAUUUAGCAUUCAACCAAAACUUCUGUUCUCAUGGAACCUACCUACUCGCAGAUCCAAGCCAUGGUAGUUUGUUCAAGAACCUUCAGCUCUUUUCUGCUUUGUUGUCAAAGGCUUCUAAAAUUGGAUCCCCUCCUCCUUAGUUCUUCCUGAUCCCUGACAGGGAUCCUGUGCUUCAGUCAGCCUCCAAUCCCAACCACCACCACCAACAAAAUCACAAGAAGACACCUAGGCUAUUAUUCUUAACCUGUUUCCCAGUUUCUAUUUGUUAACCCCCUCUGGAUUAGGCAUUGUUGUCUUUGAUCUUGACAUGUGCCUCUAUGUGGAGAGUGUAUUUUUGCUCACCAAAUUUUUACUCAUUAAACUUUACUGGUGCUAUGCUUGCUAACUUAUUUCAGAUAAUUAGAGCUUUUGGAUGCUUUCUCCAGGACAAACUGUUCCUUUCCCCAUCCUCAGCCUUCCAUGCUGUUAAUGUACAAAAUCAGAUGAUUUAAACAUAAAUCAUCUUGAACUCUAGAAUGACCUGGUCCCCUUAGCGAAAAACUGUGGGAUUCAACACUACUCCUCAGUGAUGAUGGUAAGGCUACGUGGGCAGUUGUUUAACCAUUAUCCCCAGGUGCCCUCACCCACAGCCAGCCUGCUCAAAGGACUAUUUCCCAUUCCAAUAAUAAUGACAGAGCUAGGAGGGAGGCCAUGACUAAUAAAGACAUAUAAGAUGUUAUUGCAAAUUCUUUUUUCUAUCCAUAUGAAUUAUAAACUAAAAAAUAUUGACAAAUAUCAGCAAUUACAUCGAAAGAAGAAGGUGGUUGUCAAAAAUAAAAACCAUUGUUAUGUUUUAUAAAUGUUAUUGAAGUCCACAGGAAAUACAUUAAUUUGGUGGGUGUAAAAUUGGAAGAAUUUUGAAAAAUGUAUGCAGUGGUGUAACCACAAACACAAUCAGGAUAUUUCCAUCCCUCCAGAGUUGCCUUAUGUUCCUCCUCCCAAUCUGUUUCCUGUCAACUAAUUAUCUGCUGUCUGUCACUGUAAUAUUGCCUGUUCUAGGAAAUUAGAUGAGUGGAAUUUUCUAUUAUGUGGUCUUUUGAGUCUGACUUCUUUCAAUAAUUAUACUGACUUUGAGAUUUAUCCAUAUUGUUGCAUGUAUCAGUAAUUCAUUCAUUUUCAUUGCUAAGUGGUAUUGUAUGAAUACAGUUUAUUUAUCCGUUCAUCAGUUGAUGGACGUUUGGGUUCAUUCCAAUUUUUAACUAUUAUAAAUAAAGUUGCUAUAAACAAUAUGCAAGUCCUUACGUUAACAUAAGUUUUCCUUUCUUCUGGGUAAAUUUCCUGGAGUAGAAAUGCCGGGUCAUAUGGUAAGUAUAUGUUUAAUAUUGUAAGAAACUGUCAAUGAAUUUCCAAAGUGACUGUACCAUUUUACAUUUUAUCAGCAAUGUAUGAGCGUUCCAGUUGCUCCACACUCUCACUGAUGGUUGGUAUUUUCAGUCUUCUUAAUUUUAACCAUUCUAGUGGGUGUAUAGUGGUAUGUCAUUAUGAUUUUAAUUUGCAUUUCCCUAAUGACCAAUGAUGUUGAGCAUCUUUUUAUGUGCUUGUUUGCCAUGUAUACAUCUUUUUAGGUAAAGUAUGUUCAAAUUUUGGCCCAUUUAUUGGUUUUUGUAGUUAUAAGAAUUUAUGUAUUCUGGAAUCAAGUAUUUUAUCAGAUACAUGUUUUAUAAAUAUUUUCUCCCAGUAUGUGGCUUAUAUUUUUUAUUUUCUUAACAGUGUCUUUGAAGAACAUAAAUUUUUAAUUUUAAUGAAGCCCAAUCUGUUAAUUUUUCUUUUACAGUUUGUGCUUUUUCUAUCCCACUUAAGGAAACUUUGUCUAACUUAAUGUCACUAAGAUUUUCUCCUGUUUUCAGCAGGCGCGGUGGCUCAUGCCUGUAAUCCCAGCACUUUGGGAGGCUGAAGUGGGUGGAUCACCUGAGGUCGGGAGUUCGAGACCAGCCUGACCAACAUAGAGAAACCUUGUCUCUACUAAAAACACAAAAUUAGCCAGGCUUGGUGGUACAAGCCUAUAAUCCCAGCUACUCGGGAGGCUUAGGCAGGAGAAUCACUUGAACCUGGGGGGCAGAGGUUGCAGCGAGCCGAGAUUGCGCCAUUGCACUUCAGUCUGGGCAACAAGAGUGAAACUCCAUCUCAAAAAAAACCAAAACAAAACAAAAUUUUCUCCUCUUUUCUUUUCUUUUCCCUCACCUCCCUCCCUCCUUCCCCCCUCCCUCCCUCCCUCUCUCUCUCUCUCUUUCUUUCUUUCUUUUAUCUCAUUCUGUGUUUCAGGCUGGAGUGUUGUGGCCACAAUCUCAGCUCACUGCAACCUCCACCUCCCAGGUUCAAGCGAUUCUUGUGCCUCAGCCUCCCAAAUAGCUGAGAUUAUAGAUGUAUGCCACCGUGCCUGGCUAAUUUUUAUAUUUUUAGUAGGGACGGGAUUUCACAACAUUGGCCUGGCUGGUCUCGAACUCCUGAGCUCAAGCGAUCCACCCACCUUGGCCUCCCAAAAUGCUGGGAUUACAGGCGUGAGCCACCAUUCCCAGCUGUUUCCUGUUUUCUUUUAGAAGCAUUAUUCUUUCAACCCUUACAACUGAUAUCUUGAUCCAUUUUAGGUUAUGUCUCAUAUGUGGUGUAAAGUAAGGGUAAAGGUUUAUAUUUUUGCAUAUGGCUGUUCACUUGUCACAGGACCAUUUACUGAAAGCACUAUCCCUCCCCCCAUUGAAUUUCAUUGGCACUUUUGUUGAAAAUCAGUUGCCUCUACAUAUGUGGGUCCAUUUCUGUAUUUCUAGUCAGUUCCCCUAAUAUAUGUGUCUAUAUUUAUGCCACUACCAUACUCUUGAUUACUGUUGCUUUUAUAGGAAGUCUCAAAAUUAGGUAAUAUAAAUACUCCAACUUUACCCUUUUGCAAAAAUUUUAGGGUAUUCUAGAUUAUUUGCAUUUUCAUAUAAAGUUUAGAAUCACCUUGUCAAAUUCUACAAAAAAAAAAAACCCUGCUGGGAUAUUGAUUUGAUUUGUGUACAGACAACUUUCUAUAUUGAUUGGAAUUGUACAGUCAGACAACUUAUGAUUGACAUAUUAACAAUAUUGAGUCUUUCAAUCCAUGAGUACGGUAUAUCUUUUUUUUUUUUUUUUUGAGACAG